ensembl:lncRNA
CAGAGAGCCAACUGUGAAAUGAUGACUUGGGAAAAGGCAGUGAAAAUACAGGGUUAUUGGAGCGUUUGCCUUCCUGGGGCCUGAGCUCAGAGUCAGCAGGGGCAGGAGCCAGCAGAGUGGAAUCCAGGCUCCAUAGACUCACAACUUCCCUCACUCUUCUCAGGUCCUUGCCACUCAGGGAGGAGAAGAAAGGAUCCCCUUGUUAGGAAAGUAAUGGGAAGCUUCAGUCAAUCUACCCUCUCACAACCCUGGCUCCAUUACCUGACAAUCUACUCAUCCCUUUCUGGCUUCUGAUGCCGAGUGAAUGAUGGGGGACUGGUUGUGGAAUCCUAUCUUGAAUCUAGCACUGGAGGGAAAAGAGUGAGCACAGCCACAGGGGAAGCACAGCCGUCCUCCUGAGACUGAAGUCUGUCUGACACGGGAGGCAAGAGAUCCCUGACAGAGCUCCACUCGCCAGCCAUCAUGAGGACCAGAAGCAAGUCUGCAACCGGCCUCAGCCUCAGCCAGCUGUCUUCCUCCUCCGUUCCUUUUUUAUCUAAACAGGCAGUAUUUGAAAAUAAUUGAAUGCGUGACCUCAGGCUUGGGAGCUUGGAGAAAGUGGCCAGCGCCGCCAACCUGGGUUCUUCCCUGAUAGAGUGAAGAGCAACACAGCAAAAGGAGCUC